UCCCUAAUGGUCCAUUGGUUAAGACUCCAUGCUUCCAAUGCAAGAGGUGCAGGUUCAAUCCUUGUUCAGGGAA
rnacentral:tRNA from 1 species